rnacentral:rRNA from 1 species
UACAGAGGUGGCAAGCGUUGUUCGGAUUUACUGGGCGUAAAGGGUGCGUAGGUGGUCUCGUGCGUCGGGUGUGAAAUCCCACUGCUUAACGGUGGAACGUCAUCCGAAACUGCGGGACUCGAGUGCAGGAAGGGAGAGCGGAAUUCUUGGUGUAGCGGUGAAAUGCGUUGAUAUCAAGAAGAACACCGGUGGCGAAGGCGGCUCUCUGGAAUGUAACUGACACUGAGGCACGAAAGCUGGGGGAG